AUUGAACGCUGGCGGCAGGCUUAACACAUGCAAGUCGAGCGGGGUGAUGGUGCUUGCACUAUCACUUAGCGGCGGACGGGUGAGUAAUGCUUAGGAAUCUGCCUAUUAGUGGGGGACGACAUCUCGAAAGGGAUGCUAAUACCGCAUACGUCCUACGGGAGAAAGCAGGGGAUCACUUGUGACCUUGCGCUAAUAGAUGAGCCAAAGUCGGAUUAGCUAGUUGGUGGGGUAAAGGCCUACCAAGGCGACGAUCUGUAGCGGGUCUGAGAGGAUGAUCCGCCACACUGGGACUGAGACACGGCCCAGACUCCUACGGGAGGCAGGAGUGGGGAAUAUUGGACAAUGGGGGGAACCCUGAUCCAGCCAUGCCGCGUGUGUGAAGAAGGCCUUAUGGUUGUAAAGCACUUUAAGCGAGGAGGAGGCUCUUUUGGUUAAUACCCAAGAUGAGUGGACGUUACUCGCAGAAUAAGCACCGGCUAACUCUGUGCCAGCCGCCGCCGUAA
rnacentral:rRNA from 1 species